AGCCGCGGCCUGUCCAUAACCGUGCCUCCUCCGAUCGGCGACGGCGACCACGACGCCACGGUGCGCGCGCUAGCGUAAGCUCUUGUCGCGCGGCGUCACCAGUAGUUUCCCAUCCGCGCUCUUACCGGCGGGCAGCCAUGUGCGUCGAGUUUGUCAUCUUCGUACGCAACCUGGGAGCCCUGGUCAGAGCCACGGUGGGAGGUCACUCCGUCGACCGGCCGCAGCCAAUGGACACACCCGAAUUCGGCGGUCGCGUGGUCGAGCGAUCGAGUCGUGAGGUGGCCACCAAGGUGAAGGAGUCCUAGGCUGUGACGUAGCCGUGGCCGGUGCAGCGGCGGGCACCCUCCUCGGUCGUGACCGCUAACACCACUACUACACCACCACCUUCCGCUGGUUCCCGGUGCGAGGCCUCCGCGGGGCACGUGACUUCGCUGUCCUUUGGGGCAGAAACCGACACCUUCGGCGCCGGGCUGCCCACCACACCGUGGACGUGAUCGUCGGUUGUAAAACAUGAUGGUUGUUACAUUGAUGGUUGUAAAAGCAUGAUAAACGUAGCCCCCACGUGGUCUCACGUAUACACGUACAUACACGCCCCAACACCUUCGUCACACGGCAGAGCUUGAGCUUUCAUACUUUAAAUCGAAGAUCCGUUAGAACGAGACAGGUAUAUACCAGAACGUUUCGUAAUGCGGUACAGUAACUCCAUAUGUUUGCGGUGUCAUCCUCGAGGAAAUGAUGCGGAAUUCGUGCUGGCGCACCCUGUGUCCAAGUCGCGAAGAAUAGCGCUGGGAAUAUACGAAAUUAUUCGGCUGCAUGCGGAAACGUUACAAUGUGAAAGAGAGAGAGGAGGUAGCAGCACAUAGCCUGGUAGUGCAGGGUCAAAGACAGAACAUGGACGUUACGGAAUCUCCUCCUGAGAUCGGGCAAUAGAAAAUUUGUGCAGCAAUUGCAACAAACGAAAAUCUUGGUGCAACAGUUUUGAAAGCAGCUUUUGAGACCACAUACAAAUACAUUAAUUAGUCAGCUGGUACUAUUUACAAUGUAAAAACCCGUGCCGCUAACCUGUGAGCAUAGUAUAAAUCCCAUUGUUCCACGCCUUCCCCCUGAGCUCCCAAUCCGGUAGGAAUCGCCGCGAUUGCUUUUUACUGUGCCCGUUCAGUACGUUGGUGCGUGUACGCAUAUUUUGGCUUGUAUACUUACUGAUUGUUUAAAAGGAUACUGAAGAUGAAUAGAAUGUUAUGACGUAUUUGUGAAUCACGCUUCACGCUACAGGCAGAACGACCACAUUUAUUACGAGCGGAGGCUCGGUAACCCGGACAAGGGACGCUAAACCAAACAACUGGUGGCGACGCCACCGGGAAUUUCCCGCAACUACUCACCUCUGUCGUGGCUUCCGCGAUCGGCUCCGGCAGCGCGCUGCCGGAGCUGAUCGCGGAGGCCACGCCUUGGCUUCGCGGAUUUCCACAACGUCUGUACUCGGGUCCAGUCAUAAAUAAGGACCACCGUUGCAUUGCAUAAGAACCGACUACUCUGCCCAGCAGUUUUCGAGAACUUUACCGGCGGCAAAACGGCCCAAAUACCAAAGGAUAUUUUCGAAAUCCGCGGCAUCACAGUUGCGCGCCGGCGUUGAGGUUCAGGCACGAAAUACAAAUGUGAAAUCUGGCCUUUAUUAAGGCGAAAGCCUUAUAUGUCUCAUCGUUCAGUCGACCUUCAACGUCCUUUAGCGAUAGCCGUGUCGUCGACGCGAAAUCGUACACGAUGACGACGCAUCGUGUCUUACCUAUAUAUGCAAACGCCCGCGCAACAAUUUUGAUGGUGCUUGGGUCACCGUCGUUAUCGUGUUAAUUAAGAUAGAGUUGAUUCAGGCACUCGAACCCGUGACCUUCGGUGGGAGUCGUACCCUCGAGCUUUUGUGGUAGUCGAAUCCACCACCUUUGGCUUUCAGACGAAGUUAAUUAAGGCACAGUGUAUUGGUUGCCUUUCUCGUCUUUUGUGUUUCAUAUCGACAUAUCUGUCGUUUCGAGGGAUUUGAGGCAUCCGACGAUUUGAUCGCUCUGGCAAAAGUUGCAAUUUUUCCGGUGCAAUAUUUGUUUGGUGCUUCAAGUGUAUUAAAUGUGAAGUGUAUGCGUACGCUGUAUCUUUUCUCUCGCCCACGCUAUUUUUGCGGCCGCAUAAGUAUGUCCCUUCUCCCGACGUACAAGUGGUACAAUGUUGUGCACCUAAUGAGUUAGUAUCUGCACUGGCUGUUGCUCAAGUUCAAUGUUCCAUUACCUGCACGCGUAGGUACCUUUCACACGGUGGAGUAGAUAACCCAUGCGGGGCAUUCCAAUAAACCAAACUGGAGAAAACGGUACGAACGACACUGUAGCGUUGGUGCCAUGGCAUAGUUCCUGAUUUGCUUAGCUUAAAUACGAUAGCAGAACUACCUCUACUAUACCAAAAAUCUCAUUCAGUCGUCGCCCACUGCCGUGUGGCGCGGAGUUCGUCGAACCUAUACACUACACAGAAAGACAAAUAGUGAAAGAAAAAAAAAAGAGCAUCGUCAUCCACCUCCUGUCUUGUCGGCGUCACAUAUCCGUCAUGUAUGCCCCAAUCUAUGCCCGCGGACUGCGUAGUGCGCCUGCCCCGCUCACUGUGUAGUCUUGUGUACUUUUGUGCCACCCGACAUCCUGUCUCGGUCAUUCGUUGGUGAUCAUCCUCACACCCUCGUGCAUUCCCUUCUCCCUUCGCGCUCAAGUUUUAAUGGAUCCUUUGUCAACGAGUGACGAGCCGCCGCUCCGAUGCAUCCAAAGUAAAAUGUGCACCCACUACAUAAACACGUUGUUUACAACUCCGACUACUGUGCACCAGUUGUUGUUCGUCGUGCAUAGAGGAAAGAAUAAAGGCCGUCUCCUGGU